rnacentral:rRNA from 1 species
GAUGAACGCUAGCGGCAGGCUUAAUACAUGCAAGUCGUGGGGCAGCAGGUUUGUAGCAAUACAGAUGCUGGCGACCGGCAAACGGGUGCGGAACACGUACAGAACCUUCCUUUGAGCGGGGAAUAGCCCAGAGAAAUUUGGAUUAAUACCCCAUAGUAUAAUGAAGUGGCAUCACUUUAUUAUUAAAGAUUUAUCACACGAAGAUGGCUGUGCGGCUGAUUAGGUAGUUGGCGGGGUAAAGGCCCACCAAGCCUGCGAUCAGUAACUGGUGUGAGAGCGCGACCAGUCACACGGGCACUGAGACACGGGCCCGACUCCUACGGGAGGCAGCAGUAAGGAAUAUUGGUCAAAUGGAGGCAACUCUGAACCAGCCAUGCCGCGCGGAGGAUGAAGGUCCUCUGGAUUGUAAACUUCUUUUANAUGGGACGAAAAAAAGGCUUUUCUAAGUCGUCUGACGGUACCAUAUGAAUAAGCACCGGCCAACUCCGUGCCAG